GUUCACUGCUCCCUCCGUCCCGUUUUCACGCUUAACUUUAAUCGUCUUUUUUUUAUAAUUUAUAUCUUUAUUAUCAUGAGAUGAUAAAACAUGAAUAGUAUUUUAUGUGUGACUUAUAUUUUUAAAUUUUUUUAAAAAAAUUAAAUAAGAUGAAUGGUUAAAGUUGUAUGCGGAAAAUUAUGAUUGCAUUCAAA
rnacentral:pre_miRNA from 1 species